rnacentral:tRNA from 1 species
GCCGGGGUAGCUCAGUUGGUAGUAGCACUGCACUCAUAAAGCAGAGGUCGCGGGAUCGUAGCCCGCCCCCGGCACAA